rnacentral:siRNA from 1 species
AAACGGGACUAUUCAUGUUGUUGC